AUGGCUUCCGCCCCGUCGGCCCCGUCGACGGCGCCGUCACUGGUGGACACCCUCUUCCAGCGCUCGCUGGACGAUCUCGUCAAGUCCCUCCGCGCCGACCCUUCAGCCGCCGGCGAGUCGUUGGCCGUUGGCCGCGCCCUCUCCGAGAUCCACCGUGAGAUCCGCGCCCCGGACGCGGCAACCAAGGCCGUCGCGCUCCAGAAGUUCACCUACCUCUCCUCCCUCCACUUCGUCCCCGUCGUCUCUCACCCGCACGCGUUCCCCGCCAUCGAGCUCCUCGCCUCGCCGCACCUCCCACACAAGCGCCUCGCCUAUCUCGCCGCCUCGCUGUCGCUCCACCCCGCCUCGCUCUCCCUCCUCCCGCUCGCCACCCACCAGAUCCACAAGGACCUCUCUCCUUCCACCUCCGCCGCCGCCUCCCACCACGUAUGCGCCCUCGCGCUCCAGCUCCUUGCCUCCCCCGCCGCAGCCGCCGCGCCCGACCUCGCCGUCCACCUCGCGCACGACCUCGUGCCCCACCUGUCCCGUGGCAGCCCACGCGCUAUCGCUGCCGCAGCGCGCAUCAUAGCCGCCUCCCCGUCUACUGGUGUGCCGGUCCUCUUCAAGCCACUGGCUGCAUGUCUUGCUUCGUCCGACCCACGGGCGUCAACUGCGGCUGCAUCCGCCUUCUGUGAGCUGUCGGCGCCGCCGGCUGAUGUGGCCCCAUUCCUGCCUCUCGCGCCUGACCUUUACAAUCUGCUAACCACAUCCCGCUCCAACUGGGCGCUCAUCAAGGUGCUCAAGAUAUUUGCUAGGCUGGCUCCUCUGGAGUCACGUCUAGCCGCACGGAUUGUUGAUCCAGUCUGCCAGCUCCUCACUCGUUCUUCAGCCAUGUCGCUGACAUUCGAGUGUGUCCGCACGGUGCUAACUGCACUACCGGCGCAUGGUGCCGCAGUGAGCCUUGCCAUUGGGAAAGUCAAGGAAUUCCUUGCUGCUUCUGAUGAUCCUAACCUGCGCUAUCUUGGCCUCUUGGCACUUGGUAUGCUUGGCCCAGCAUAUGCAUCAACUGUCAAUGAGAGUCGUGAUGUGAUUGCCCUGUCACUGGGUGAUGCUGACUCAAACAUCCGUAGGGAGGCAUUGCACCUUAUGAUGGGAAUGGUUGAUGAAAACAAUGUCAUGGAUAUUGCUGGCAUGCUGGUCAGUCAUGCCGCAAGGUCAGACCCAGAGUUUGCAAAUGAUAUUCUUGGGGCCGUCCUAGCAGCAUGUGGGCGCAAUGUAUAUGAGCUGGUGUCAGAUUUUGAUUGGUAUAUCUCACUACUCGCAGAUAUGGCUAGGAGCUUGCACUGUGCGCAGGGGGAUGAGAUUGGUCGCCAGCUUGUUGAUGUGGGACUUAGGGUGCAUGAUGCACGGCCAGAGCUUGUCCGUUCAGCUCGAUCUCUCUUAAUUGAUCCUGCUUUGCUUGGGAACAAUCUCCUAUGCUCUGUUCUUUCUGCUGCUGCAUGGGUCUCUGGUGAGUAUAUUGAUUGUAGCAAGGAUCCUGUUGAGCUUGUUGAGGCACUGUCACAGCCAAGGACUAGCCUCUUGCCAAUGUCAGUGAGAGCUGUGUACAUCCAGGCAGUACUUAAAGUGGUCACCUUCUGUUGCAAUUUAUAUGUAGAGAGUUCGAAUGAUUCAAACAAGGAAUCGGAUCUAGUGUUUGAUGAGUUAGCUGUUGAUCAAACUGUUAGUAGGGGAAGCAAGUCUGAAACUCAACCUGCUGAAGAACAAAUCAUUAUGCCAGGCACAGCUAAAAAUGACCCCUUUUCAAACAAAUCAAUAGUUUACAUGAUUAACUUGAUUGAAACAACGGUUGGGCCACUUGUUGAGUCCAAGGAAGUUGAGGUCCUGGAGAGGGCACGCAACCUGAUUGGUUUUGUCCAUUUGUUAAGAGAGAUCUGGGAGUUGAAGGAAAGGAAGGUCAGUGAUCAUAACAAGCAUAACCGGGUCGUGGAGCUUAUUAAUAGUAUGCAAAAAGUAUUCUCUCAGGAAUUAAGGCCUGUUUCUGUGAAUGCCCAGAAGAAAAUUUCCCUUCCUGAGGAUCUUGUCUUGCAUGAAAAUCUGUCUGAACUUGCUGACAUUUUAAGUGAAGAUGACACUAUUCUGUCAACUUCAAUCUCUUUUAUCUCUCGCAACUGUCAUUCUGUAGAGACUAGAGAUGAGCCUGCAGUAGUGUCAGUUGAUUCAUCUUCUCUUUUUGAGCACCGUAAACGGCACGGGAUAUACUAUCUCCCAACAGGAAAAGCUGAGGAUGACGCAAAUAGCUACCCUCGUGCCAAUGAUCCUCUUCUUUCCGCUGAGAAUGCAAGUGCCAUGGAGGAUAAAUCCGAGACUGUCCAGCCUGUAUCUGCUGGGAAAAAAUUGAAGGCCAUGAGGUCCAGACCAAAAGUAGUGAAAUUGGAUGGCGAAGAUUUCCUAAGUUCUAUGAUGACUAGUGCAAAUAUUCUAAAGGCUGCAGAUAAGUCAGAAGUCAUGGGCAAAAAAAUGGACACUGGCGAAUCUAGUUCUCAAUGGAUACAGAACAUAUAUGCUGAUACUGGAAGCCUUUCUACUUCAAGUUCUAGGACAAGUAAGCAACACGAUCUUACUAAAGAGAAGAGCACAAUACCUCCUGACAGUGAUAAGAAAGAGCCGAGAAAGCAUAGAACCUCUUCUAGGAGUGGGCAUCGUCAAGGAAAACAUACGCACAGAGAAAGACCUAGUACUCAGCCUGAUGUUGCACCUCAAGCUCCGGUUGUUCAAGAUUUCCUUCUGUAG
rnacentral:rRNA from 1 species